GCGGUAAUUCCAGCUCCAAUAGCGUAUAUUAAAGUUGUUGCAGUUAAAAAGCUCGUAGUUGAAUUUCGAGAUCAAAUUGUUGGUCGUGCCUUGGUACGCACUGGCAUUAUUGGUUUCUCCCUUCUGAAGAACCAAGAUGUCAUUAAUUUGGUGUCUUGGGGAAUCAGGACUGUUACUUUGAAAAAUUAGAGUGUUUAAAGCAGGCUCGCGCUUGAAUACAUUAGCAUGGAAUAAUGAAAUAGGACGUUUGAUUCUAUUUUGUUGGUUUCUAGGAUCGACGUAAUGAUUAAUAGGGAUAGUUGGGGGCAUUAGUAUUCAAUUGUCAGAGGUGAAAUUCUUGGAUUUAUUGAAGACUAACUACUGCGAAAGCAUUUGCCAAGGAUGUUUUCAUUAAUCAAGAACGAAAGUUAGGGGGAUCGAAGACGAUCAGAUACCGUCGUAGUCUUAACCAUAAACUAUGCCGACUAGGGAUCGGAUGAUGUUAAUUUUUUAAUGACUCAUUCGGCGCCUUACG
rnacentral:rRNA from 1 species